rnacentral:rRNA from 1 species
AUUGAACGCUGGCGGCAGGCCUAACACAUGCAAGUCGAGCGGAGCGGCGGACGGGUGAGUAAUGCCUAGGAAUCUGCCUGUUAGUGGGGGAAAACGUCCGGAAACGGGCGCUAAUACCGCAUACUACCAGAUGAGCCUAGGUCGGAUUAGCUAGUUGGUGGGGUAAAGGCCUACCAAGGCGACGAUCCGUAACGGGCCGGAGAGGAUGAUCAGUCACACUGGAACUGAGACACGGUCAAGACUCCUACGGGAGGAAGCAGUGGGGACUAUUGGACAAUGGGCGAAAGCCUGUUCCAGCCAUGCCCCGUGUGUGAGGAAGGUCUUCGGAUGUUAAAGCACUUAAACUUGGGAGGCGUUACCAGCAGAAUAAGCACCGGCUAACUUCGUGCCAGCAGCCGCGGUAAUAC